AAUAAAAUAUUACAAUUUUAUUCGCCUGAAAACUACGAGCAUUAGCUUAAAACUCAAUGGGCUUGGCGGUGCUUUAAACCCCCCUAGAGGAGCCUGUCCUGCGAUUGAUAAUCCCCGUUAAACCUUACCUUCUUUAGUAUUACAGCUUGUAUACCUCCAUCGUCAGUUUACCCCUUAAAGGCAAUAAAUGAAACGAAACCGGUUUUACCCCAAACGCUAGGUCAAGGUGCAGUUAAUAAGAAGGGAAGAGAUGGGCUACAUUUCCUAAUUAUGAAACUACGGAUAAUGCAAUGAAACUUGCAUCUUGAAGGUGGAUUUAGCAGUAAGUAAAAAUCAGAGUGUUUU
rnacentral:rRNA from 1 species